UUAUUUUUCACAUUCUCUUCUUCGGAUUGUGGAGAUUUAUUUUGGAUUAAAGAUGAAAAACCCAAUGAAAUAAGAGAAUCAAAAUCAAAUUUAUGGAAGAAAAUGAAGCGGUUUGCAAUUUUAGUUGUUUAUGUUAUGUAAAGUUGUGGAGCUUCACCCGAUCAAUCUUUAAGUUCUCCAUUUGCUUACAUUUUUAUUUGAAUUCUUUUGGGUGUGCUGUAGGUUUCGGUGGCGGCAGCAAUAUAG
rnacentral:misc_RNA from 1 species